UACGAGUUUCAUAUAAAUAUUUUAAAUCCUGUGUUUGUAUGGUGAUUCAAGUGACCUUACUCAAAAAUAGCCAAGCCAAGAAGAUUCCAGCUUCUUUCUACAGUGUCUUAGUAAGACCAGUGAUUUGUUUUGACCGGUACUUGGCCUUGUAGAAGCGACCAACGAACUAUCGAUACGGUAUUGUACGAUGAUAUGACAAGAACACACCAUAGCAUGAAGCAACUUCAGUAGUAACAACCAAAAAUAGUAGUAAACAUAUUCAAUUCAAUUCAAUUUAUUUCGAAUGGCUAACAGAAAAGUGUAAAUAAGCCUAAUUAAUAAAAAGCCUAAGAAAUAAGCCUAAUUACGUAGAUAUUUAAACAAUUUGAGUAAAAAGAUAGGAAGAAAAGAGCAUGAUAGAUAAUUGUGGACUAGUAAUAGCAAAACUCGAUCAAUGUAAUUAUAUUUUUAAAAAUUCGCAUGAUCAAAAAAGGGAAAACAGUUCAAGAGGACUUUUGAGCUUUUUUUAUUAAAUACGAGCCUUUUUGGUGAUAUUUUUAUAUGUUGAAUUGCAACCUUUUUUUAAUUCUUGGGGUGCAUGUUACGUCAUAGCCACCAUAUUGGUUGACGAUAGCAAAGCAUUCCUCGUUAGCCGCUGCUUCAUUGUUAUAUUUUGAGUCACGAGAAUUGGGAAAAUCUCCCGAGAAUUGGGAACCUAUUUUUGUCCUCCAAUUUGAGCUGUAUUCUGACCUCCUGCAAGAGAGGUCUAUAGACCCUUUCAGCUCGGGUGUAACGUUAUAAUAAACUUUAUUUCUCAAUAUA